rnacentral:rRNA from 1 species
CAUAAAAGUCGACAUCGCAUGAUGUUGACUUGAAAGGUGCAAUUGCAUCACUAAGAGAUGGACCUGCGUUGUAUUAGCUAGUUGGUGAGGUAACGGCUCACCAAGGCGACGAUACAUAGCCGACCUGAGAGGGUGAUCGGCCACACUGGGACUGAGACACGGCCCAGACUCCUACGGGAGGCAGCAGUAGGGAAUCUUCGGCAAUGGGGGCAACCCUGACCGAGCAACGCCGCGUGAGUGAAGAAGGUUUUCGGAUCGUAAAGCUCUGUUGUAAGAGAAGAACGAGUGUGAGAGUGGAAAGUUCACACUGUGACGGUAACUUACCAGAAAGGGACGGCUAACUACGUGCCAGCAGCCGCGGUAAUACGUAGGUCCCGAGCGUUAUCCGGAUUUAUUGGGCGUAAAGCGAGCGCAGGCGGUUAGAUAAGUCUGAAGUUAAAGGCUGUGGCUUAACCAUAGUACGCUUUGGAAACUGUUUAACUUGAGUGCAGAAGGGGAGAGUGGAAUUCCAUGUGUAGCGGUGAAAUGCGUAGAUAUAUGGAGGAACACCGGUGGCGAAAGCGGCUCUCUGGUCUGUA